rnacentral:rRNA from 1 species
UACGUAGGGACCGAGCGUUGUCCGGAUUCAUUGGGCGUAAAGCGCGUGUAGGCGGCCAGGUAGGUCCGAUGUGAAAUCUGGAGGCUCAACCUCCAGCGGUCAUUGGAAACCAUCUGGCUAGAGUCCGGAAGAGGAGAGUGGAAUUCCUGGUGUAGCGGUGAAAUGCGCAGAUAUCAGGAAGAACACCAAUGGCGAAGGCAGCUCUCUGGGACGGUACUGACGCUGAGACGCGAAAGCGUGGGGAGCGAACAGG